AAUGGUGUUGUGGAAAUUUCUUGCUUCCAUUUGUCUGUUCAUGCUGCUCUACUAUUUUUUUGCUGGUUAAUGCAAAUUGUUUAUGUGUAAUGAGAUUGAAUUAGUUCUUUAUCAGAUUGGUUGCAAUUGCUUUUUAGCUACUAGUAGAGACUAGAGAGUGAUUGUUGGCAUGUGAUAUUUGUUUCUUGCUACUUUUGGUAUGUGUGCUGGCUAGUUUGGUUUAUAUUUUAAAUUUCUUUUUCUUCAUUAUGGGUUUUACAAAUUAUUGGAUUUCCUUUUAUUUACCCACUAUAUCCUUCCUCUCUGCCUGUUUAAGAGGUCCGGUGCAGUCUCAUCAGUUCUAUCAGAAAAUGCCAGCUGAAAUCCUAAUUGGAGUCCUUUUAUUUUUGUCUCCCUCUCUUUAGAAUCAUGGGCAACAAAAUCUGAAGUCAUGAAUAGAUAUCUAUCAAGAAAUUGUCGUCGAUUGCUAAUAAAUUUCCAUAAUUUGCCCAAAGCAUGUGAUAGAGGACAAAAGAAUGGCGCAGAUAGAGUACAUUCAUCUCAGGCAUCCAAGAGUUCCCAUGAUUACAAUAAUUUUGGAUGGAGAUACUGUCCAAGGACUAGUUUUGGGCAGCAACAAGUUGUUAAUGCACUGCGCAUUGGGGAUAGAGAGAAAGCCUCUAAGCUGCUUUUGAAUAUUGGACAUGUCAAUGGCUCUUUAAGUGCGGAUGAUUUUGCUUAUAUUCUGGAAUACUGUGCACAAACUCCUGAUCCACUGUUUGUUAUGGAGACAUGGGAAGUUAUGAAGGAUAAAACAGUAGGCAUGAACAAGAGAAGCUGCAGGUUUAUCGUUCAAGCCUUAAGUAAAGGAGGAUACCUUAAGGAGGCAUUAAACUUGCUUACCUCUCUUCGGGAAAAUGACCAUGUCAAUGCUGCGCUUCCAAUGUUUAAUAUUUUGUUAACUGGAUGUGGAAACAAAAAGAGCUUGGAAGAUGCUGACUAUUGUAUGGAGCUGAUGGAAAGCCAACUUGUAGGGAAGUCUGAGAUAACCUACUGUGAACUUCUUAAGCUAGCAGUUAUGCAGGAAAAUCUAUCUGCGGUUCAUGAGAUCUGGAAGGAUUGCAGUAGGUACUAUAGCCCAAGCAUUAUUACUUUACGAAAAUUUGUUCGCUCCUUCACUAAAUUAGGUGACCUUGAAUCUGCAUACAAUGUUUUGCAACUCAUGAUGGCUCUUGUUAGGCAAGAAAAUGCCUCUGUUACAAUAUCUGCCACAGGGCGAUACCGGUCAUCAAGAUUAGAUAUUCCUAUACCCUUGACUAAUCAUUCAUCAGGAGUGAGAUAUUGGUUGGACACUGAAAGCGCAUUGAAUACAUUAUAUGAGGGAAGCUCCACUAAAGCUGAUAAGGGUUUAAAAGAAGUUUGUAUGGAUAUAUCCAGUGGUGGAUACCGGUUACCAUACAACAUCACUGGGAAUCUCAAAUCAGAGAGGACUGCUGAAAAUCAGCCUGAUCUGUCUGAUGCAUCAAAUUUUUUGUUCACUGAAACCCUUGGAAGCGGGUUCAUCAACAGUCUAGAGCGAGUUAAGCCAGAUGAGAGGACCAAAUUCAGUAAUGAAAAGAUGAAACGAGUGUCUGAAAUGGCAUCUCCUCUCGCUAUGAAUUUUUUGAGAUGGUCUUUCAAUGAUAUGCUCCAUGCCUGUGUCUGGUCAAAUAACUUCCAGCUGGCUGAGCAGUUGUUCCUGCAGAUGCACAACCUCGGAGUGGAACCAUCAAAGCAUACCUAUGAUGGAUUUGUUAAAGCUGUUAUCAAUGGAAAAGGAGUUGCUUAUGGCAUGAAAGUGAUUAAAUCAAUGGAGAAAAAGAAUAUUGAGCCUUACGAUGAUACUCUUGCAGCUCUUUGUGUUGGUCAUAGCAAAAAUUUGGAGCUGGAUAUGGCUGAGGCUUUGUUGGAAAGAAUUUCUGGAGAUCUACCAAAGUACAUACGUCCUUUUAAUGCCCUACUAGCUGCCUGUGAUGUCAUGGAUGAACCUGAACGAGCUAUUCGUGUUUUGGCUAAAAUGAAGCGUCUAAAUAUAAACUCAAAUAUCCGGACCUAUGAACUUAUGUUUUCCUUGUUUGGCACUGUCAAUGUUCCUUAUGAGAAGGGAAAUAUGCUUUCACAUGCUGAUGUUGUCAAAAGGAUAAAGACUAUAGAGAUGGAUAUGAUGAUGAAUGGUAUGCGACACAGCUAUCGAUCUAUGCAGAAUCUGAUAAGAGCUCUUGGAGCCGAGGGCAUGAUACAAGAGAUGUUCGGUUACUUAAAUGUGGCUGAAAACAUGUUUUGGCAGACGGAUCCUUAUCAGAAAUCUGAUAUGUACAAUAUUGUGCUGGACGCACUUGUUAAGGCCAAGGAAAGUCACAAGGCAAUUGAAGUCUUUAAAAACAUGAGAUCAUGUGGUCUCCCGGCCAAUGUUGCUACAUACAAUAUUAUGAUAGAAUGUUGCAGCAUUCUGACAUGUUUCAAGUCUGCAUGUGCAUUGGUAUCCUUGAUGUUGCGCGAUGGUUUCUGUCCACAGUUAUUGACAUACACUGCGCUCAUAAAGGUACUUCUCGCAAAUGAAAAUUUUGAGGGUGCGUUACAUCUUUUGGAUCAAUGUCGCUCUGAAGGAAUUCAUCCAGACAUCCAACUAUUCAAUAUAAUUCUUCGAGAAGCAUUUUUCAAGGAACGGAUUGAUAUAGUUGAGCCUGUAAUUGAGGGUAUACUCAGAGAGAAAAUCCAGCCUGAUCCUUCGACCCUUUGGUACACAUUCUCUGCAUAUGUAGAGUGUGGAUUUCAUAACACUGCAAUGGAGGCAUUGCAGGUUCUAAGCAUGCGAAUGAUCUCAGAAGAGAACAUUCUUCAUGAAAAGAGGAUUGCCUAUGAAGAUCUUGUCCACAAUGAAGACCCAAAUGCUGAGUUAGAGAUUAUUGAAAUUUUCAAAGAAUCUCGAGAGUUUAUUGCAACAGCUCUAUUAAACUUGAGAUGGUGUGCAAUCACUGGCUGCUCAAUAUCAUGGUCUCCUGAGGAAAGCCUGUGGGCCAAAAGGCUUUCUUCUUCUUAUGGUGCCAGUAAAGGGCCUACUUGAAUCUCUAAAGAUUGCAAUAGUAGUUCUUUCAAAUGGAUUGGCCUUUAACUUCAAUUGAAGAUGGCAAUUUCAUGAAACUGAGAAAAAUAUCAAUCCCUCCAAGUCUCCAACUUUCUUGUCCUUCAUGGAUGUCUUCUCUUGAGCAGAUAGCUGGGGUGGUUUCAAUCUUCCAUAUAACCAAACUGGCACCGCUAACAUUUGAAUAAUCAGGUGUCAAUUGCUGAUUGUUCUGACAUGGAAGUGAUGAGAUGCUUCCUCAGCAAAUCAAUUGAUUUUGGUCAGUUUUGUAACGUGAUGGUUGAUGAGAUCUGGGCGGCUAUGGAGAUGAAAGCUUCUUUCUACAUGGAAUUUUUAUGACAUGGUUUGACAAGCACCCUCACGAGGACUGGUUAUCCAUAUUUCAGCUAAACCACAUUUAACCUACAAAUGCUCAGUGACAGUGGGGUUGCUGAUAUACAUGUUCAGUAACACAAGAAUAAUACGGCAGCUGCCAGUUUGUCAGAUGGUUACUGAGAAAUCUUGUCCGAAAACAUCCAUCAGAGCUUAAACUCCAGAAACUAGCCAUUAUAGAGAAGCUACUGGAACGAAUCUAUGACAAUGACAAAGUGGUUUGCGAAACAUUUCAUCUCCUUCUAAAGGCCGCGGUCUUUCCAUCUUCAGAAGAGGCCCGGAUAACCAUAAUUGAGCAUGUACACAGAUCAAAAUCCAGCCGAAUUGUCCGACCCUUUGGUACCCAUUCAGUGCAUGAAUAUGGAUUUCACAACACUGCAAUGGAAGCAUUGCAGGUUUCCAGCAUGCGAGUGAUCUCUAAAGAAGAUUAGAAGAAUUCUUGAAGAAAAGAGGGUUGCCUAUGAGGAUCUUGUCCACAGUGAAGACUCCAAUGCCGAGUUACAGAUUGUUGGGAGUUUUAAAUAACCUCAAAGAGUUCAAUGCAACAGCUGAAAGUUCUGAGAGCCAAAAGGCUUUCUUCUUCUUAUAGAAAUAUAAAGGUGUGCUUCAUGUGCAUACGGGACCUCACUCAAGCACCACGAUUAACUCAUGGUUAGUCUCAAUAAGCCCUUGUUGCAGUGUCUUUUAGUCUAGAUGGGUCAACGGCUGGAUCCGCUCUAAUACUAUUUGUAACAAUUUAGGACCUCAUCCGAAAUAGCUCAUCGGAAGGUAUUAUUUGGACUCCUUAGUCUUAUUUAACUAUCUAAGAUUUAUCCAGUGAAUAACUGAUGUAGGAUCUUCAAACAAUCAAACUCGAAUCGGUCCCAAAUUAUUAGCAGACACUGUCCGAACAUUGGCGGCGGCAUCACCAAUUUCAAACAACCAAUCUGCUGCUCCAGCCAAACAGUGUAAGAGUCGCCACCGCUGAAGAACAACUCCAUCGCACCGUCGUGUUCCCUCCAUGGACGAAGAGGCUAAUGCUGAAGAAAUAACCAUAGCGCUGACUCGAUCCUUUUCACCUUCGCUCUCUUUUUGUUCUUCGGGACAGGUAAGCUUCGAAGGUUAUUCAGGCGCCAGUUUUCCAAACCCCAUCAACUUGAAAAAUCUGGCCAUACAAACUGCUGCCGAGUCUUGGAGCUUGAGGGCGUCCGGAUCGAGUUCUUGCCGGAGCAACUGCGAUAUCUUGCUGUGUUGAGAUACUUGGGAUUGAGGCAGACGGGUGUGCAGAGGCUUCCACAAAGCAUGCAUGCGCGCCUCCACUAUAAUUCUCAUUUGAUAUGUUGCAUGGCAUCCAUGUCUAGUGCACGUAACACAACAAUGUGGCCUUGGGAUGUGCAUGUCCAUCACUUCCCUUCAUAUAAAUACACUCUUCUUCUUAGCAUGUACACCACAACAAUGCCACUUUAAUAAUGAUUAAUAAACAUAAUGUUCCUACC